GAGAGGCGCGGGCGGGAACCGAGGCUGCCUGCGGUGCUCGCAGGUCCAGCGCGACUUCCGGGUGGGCGCGGGCUCGGCGGGUCCCACACUCCGAGCGGCCGGCUUGCGCCGCCGGCCCUGGGCAGUGAGGGGCUUAGCACCCGGGCCAGCAGCUGUAGAGGGUGCACUGGGUCCCCCAACAGUGAUGGCCCGCCGGCGCCGCGCUCGAAUUUUCGCUGGGCCUCAGCCACCUCCCCGCGGGGCAAGGGGGCAGGGCUCGGGACCUGCAGCCUGCCAUGCUGGAGCCCUCACCCUGCUCCCCGCCCCCUGUCCGCUGCCCCCUGCCCCCCAACCGCGGGCUCCCGCGCGCCACUCCGAGGGGACGGGCGCCACCCCCUGCUACGCGGCACCCUGUCCCGUCAACCGCCCAAGGGCUGAGGAGUGCGGGAGCGCGCCAGAGACUGGCGGGCCGCUCCGCCCCCGGCCGGGAUGCACUAGGCAAAGCCAGCUGGGCUCCUGAGUCAGAAAGCAGUCAUGAUGGUCUGCACUCCACACAAUGCAACAGAGUGAAAGAGCAGGUUCUGGUUCUUUGGUGUAGUCCUGAAGCUUCCUAAGAAAGUUCACAUCAGGUGAUGGAUAGGAGCAAUCCUGUAAAACCAGCCUUAGACUAUUUUUCAAACAAAAGAAGAUGGAAGAAGAAGGAAAGAAAAGGCAUAAUGUAAAUAUAAAUGCUGUCUUUAUUUCUGGAUCUAGCAAAGAGUUAGUUUGAAAGAGCAAUUGCUUAUAAGACUACAAGGCUGAUUUCUCUCAUCCCUGCAAUGCUGAAGGUCUGUGCCCUUCUAAGCAAAUUCUAGUUUCCCUGACAAUUCGUCUAAUGGAAUGCCUGGAUGUAGGAAUAUUGAUUCCAAUGACAGUACUUAUACAGAUGGACCUGAGAUAUUUCCACUGGUUCUUCACUGACAACACACAACAUAUGGAUGAUCAUAACUUUCCCAUAUACCCCACUAGGGCAAAACCAGAAACUGAGAAAGCUAGAUGGAAGAAUAAUGAUGUGGAAGGGGAGUUCUCCACUAGGAAGGAUCCGAUGAGUAGAUAGACACAAGGACAAAGAGGGCCUAAUUUUGGGCUGUGGAAGUGAAAUUGCACUCAUAGCAGCUAUAGUGAGUCACUGUGGCAGAACCACUAAGCAUCAGUCAUGAAGAGCAAACGGGCUUGCUAUUAUAGGAGUUAAACCUUGGACCCUUCCAUCGUGGUUACAGAGAGCUUCUGGGGGACAGCAUGAGACAGCUUAGCACUUCCCCAAUAUUAUGAGGAAACCCAAAGGCCCAGAUGCCACUUGGGAAAGGAGAACCAAGAAGGAAGGACUUCAGAAAAGGAAGAAACCAUGAAACAUUAAGUAAUUUACAAACUAGACUCUUCUAUAUUCUCUUAUUUUAUUUAUUUCUUUAUUUUUGAGACAGAGUCUCACUCUUUGCCCUUGAUGAAAUGCACUGGCCCAAUCAUGGCUCACUGCAGCCUCAAAAUCCUGGCCUCAAGAAAUCCUCCAGACUCAGCUUCCUAAAGUGCUGGGAUUACAGGCAUGAGCCACAGCACCUGACCUAGACUGUUUUAAACUAGAUUUCCCUGAGAAAACUUUCACUGGAAAAAUCAAAAUUAUCCUGCUGUCAUUAAGAGAAAAAUAUCUGUUAUAGAAAACUACAUUCUAUUUUUUCAAACAUGUCAUAAAUAUUUGGACCCCUCUCUGAGAACAAACUACUUAUAAGUCAUUUCAAUCAUUAACGAAUAUCAUAAUUGAGGGCCUGUGCUGGGUGCCAGAAAUCUACCAGUGAGCAAAACAGCACUGAUCUUUGUCCACAGUAAAUUUACAGAUCAGAGGAAACAGAAAAAUAAUCAGUUAAAUAAAACAAGUCUGAAAAUUGCAUAUGAGAACCCAAAGCAGAGGUACCUAACCAGGUCAAAAAAAAAAAAAAAAAAAAAAAAAAAUGGAGCAAAUUGUGCCUAAGAACUUGGUAUUUUUCUUCAUCCAUUCGAUGUUCUAGCUACAUUUCUUCACAUGUCCCAUUACUAAGGUUGACACUUCCAUGCAGUUGCAUAUGUUGUUCCCAGUAUUACUUUUCUGUUGCUGCCCUAACAAAUUGUCACACUUUUGCAGCUUAAAACAACACAAAUAGAUUAUAUUACAAUUCUGGAAGACAGAAGUUCUAAAACCAAGGUUUUCACAGGGCUGGGUUCUUCUGGAGGCUGCAGGAGAAAAUCUGUUUCCUUGCCUUUUUCUGCUUCUAGAGGCUUCCUGCAUUCUUGCUCUUGUAAACCUUCUUUCCUCCCAACAGUCCAGCCUCUGCUUUCGUCAUCGUUAUCUUUUUCUCUCUGACUUGAGCCUCUUGCCUCCCUCUUACAUAAACCCUAGUGUCUACACUGGGCCCACCAGGAUACUUCAGGAUAAUCCUCCCAUCUCACGACGUUUACCUUAAUUAUCUCUGCAAAGCCCCUUUCGGCAUGCAAGGUAAACAUUAACAGGUUUCAGGGAUGAGGCCGUGCCCAUUUGUGGGCGGGGGUGGUUGUAGGAAAAGUAUCAUGCAACCUACCACUCUUUGUUCACAGGAAUUUCCAUCUGGAUCCUUUUAGAAUUAAUCAUUAUCAUUUACUAAAGUGUGGAGGAUGAUAGAAAAAAAAAACGAAGGCAGAUAAGGAAAGAGCAAAGAAAGGCAAAUGGGAAGGAAGGAAAUAAGGAAGAAAGUCAACCUUAGAUCAUCAUGAUGUUUUUGCUUGUCACCAAGGGAAGGAGAUCAAGUGGCUCCCCAGUGAUAGGUGAUGUUACCUUGGAUGAAGACAGCAUCCCUAACCAGAUACUGAACCUGCUGGCACCUUGAUCUUAAACUCCCCAGCCUCUGGAAUUGUCAGAAAAAAAUUUCUGUCUUUCAGGAAUUACCCAGUAUCAAGCAUAUUCUUAUAGCAGCACAAACUAAGACAGGGAGGCUUUUGCUAUCUCUCCUCUGAAUUAUCACAAUUAUCUUCGAAAUGGUUUUUCUACUUUCACCUUCAUGGCUUUCCAAUAAUUCUCAAUACAAAUGCAUGAUUACAUAAACAUUUGCUCAAGAACCUGUAUAAACAGACUGCUGGAUAAUGACUAGAUCCUCAGGAUAUGCAGGGCUCAAGAGAAAUGAAAUAUCUUGGGGAUAUGGUUACUUAAGACGUGAUACUGUCACAGUGAAUUUCAUAGAAGAUGGUGCUGCCCUAACUGAGGUUCAAUCCAUGUAUAAGCCAGACCAAUCUGAAGACAAAUAAAGUAUUUCACAGCCAC